AAAAAAAGCGUGAAAUUGAUGGCAGUAUUGAAAGACAGGAAGCUCGCCUAGUGGCUAAGGAAUAUACACAAUAGGAGGGAAUAGAUUGUGAGAAAACUUUUUCGCUUGUUGUGAGGUUCAUCUUGAUAAGAUUAAUCUUUAGCUGUGCCAACCUAGAUCUUGAAAUACAUCAAAUGAAUGUGAAGACUACUUUUCUCAAUGGAGAAUUAAAAGAGGAA
rnacentral:misc_RNA from 1 species